rnacentral:rRNA from 1 species
UACGUAGGGUGCGAGCGUUAAUCGGAAUUACUGGGCGUAAAGCGUGCGCAGGCGGCGCGUUAAGACAAGUGUGAAAGCCCCGAGCUUAACUUGGGAAUUGCGCUUGUGACUGGCGUGCUGGAGUGUGGCAGAGGGAGGUGGAAUUCCACGUGUAGCAGUGAAAUGCGUAGAGAUGUGGAGGAACACCGAUGGCGAAGGCAGCCUCCUGGGCCAGCACUGACGCUCAUGCACGAAAGCGUGGGGAGCAAACAGG